UCGGAGCACCAUAUAUUGUCAACCUUUAUUAUGCAGUAUCAGUAAAACCCCAAUUCGCUGAAAGCUUUUCACUUUCCUGUAAAACCGCUUUGGUCUUUUCUUGAUUUCUUCCAGAGUCCAGACUGAUAUUAGGUUUCCAACAUGGAAGAACCAAGAAAUUCCCCAUUUCGUAAUAGUAUCGAUAGGAUUAGCGAUUUACCAGAAAACCUAAUUCACCACAUCAUGUCUUUCAUGGACAUGACGUAUGUAGUUCAAACUUGUGUCCUGUCAGAGAUGGAAAAAUCUUUGGACUAUCACCCAAAUUCUCAACUUUGAUUUCAACAAAUUCUCACUUGCUAUCAAAAACAACCAGAACAAUGGAACAUUAUAUCAAAAAUUCAUCAAAUUUGUAGACCAAGUGUUCAUUCUUCUUCGUGACAGCUGAAACAUUCAGAGGGUUAAUCUUGUUUGUGGUAAACAAUGGAACUUUGAUGUAUCAGUAAUGACUGGUUCUCUUACUACUUGGGUCGUGGCAGCUGUAAGACGGAAUAUUCAAGAAUUUUAUCUCGAUAUCUCUGCUGUGAAAAUAUCCAGGUUUCCUCAAUGUCUUUUUACUUGCACUUCAUUGAUUAAAUUGGAAUUAAAACUGGGUGGUAAUUCAAGUAUUAUCAUUCUACCUGCUUCUAUGGAUUUGCCUAGACUUACUUUUAUGAAACUUGAUUCACUUCCAUCUGAUGUUAACUUGACUAAUAGGCUCUUCUUAAAAUGUCCUGUUCUUGAAGGUCAUCUUGGUCAUAUGGAUCUUCAAAUUUCUUCAUUAACACUUAAACACUUGCAAAUAGUGGAUUUUGUUAGUAAAACCUCAAGUGAAGUCAAGAUAGAUGCUCCGAAUCUUGUAUCCUUCAAGUGCAGAGAUUAUAUGUCGAAAUGGUAUGUUUUAGAAAACCUUGCUUCUCUAGUUACUGCUGAUAUAGACAUGAGAGCUACAAAAGAAGAAGCUGCGAAAAUAAAAGACUAUAUAAAAAAUAAUUGGUUGCUCCUCAGUGCACUUUCCAGUGUGAAAGAACUAAGAUUAUCCGAGGGUGUCUUGGCCAUAUGUUCGUUUACAGUUUGGUGGAAGGCAUAGUCAUCAGCCAUCUGGGACUUGCACGCAGUAUUCACAUUCAACUUGUAAGUCUGUGGUUCCACCAUUGUCCCUUGACAUUUUCAGCAGCCUAAGAGCUUGACUUUUAUUACUUAAGAUGUGACAAAUUGACAAUAUUAACUGGUAAUGUUUUUGAUGGAGCACCAGUUCUAGAAACAUUAUUGAUGUUAGAUUAACUUUGAGUUUGGAGGUUUUUGUUAUUACAAAUCAUCAGGUAGCAUUUUCUGAAAAAUUUCAUUGUUUGGGUUUUUUGUGUGCCAAGAUUUUCUCUAGUUGUUCUGCCAAAGUUUCCCUUCAGUUUUCUAAUCUACGGUUCGUCAAGCUGGAAUCACUCUUAUCAAGAACCAGCAUUCGAGCACUAGGAUGGUUAUUCUCUAUGUCUCCAAAAAUAGAAAGUCUUUCGGUGGUAAUUCCAGGGAUGCCGAAGUCGGAUAUACCCGACAGUGAAGAAUAUUGGGCUGGAGUAUCGCCUGAUCAUCUUAGGUCUGUUGAAAUUCGAGGUCUUACUGGACAGUUUAAUAAUGAGCUCAAAUUUGUGGAGAUUAUGUUCAAGAAGGCUGUAAUCUUGGAGACAAUGGUUCUUUUUAGUUGUAAGAAAUCCAUGACGGAUAAGCGCCUAAUUACAUUUCGUGAGAAGCUACCAACACUUCCAAGGGCGUCUUCAAAUGUCGCAACCUUUUUGAUUUAAUCAUUGGUAGGUCAUGACUUGAUUUUCAGUUUUAUAAUUAAUAAUUCAUCUCAAGGAAAUUCAUUUUGAUUCAGGUCUUUAGACACUGUUUUAAUUUUUAUAUACAUCAAGGCUCAACCAUGGGCAUUUUUCAGUCUGAACACUUUUUACAU